UUUUAUAUAAUUUAAAAUAUUAUAUAUAAAUCAAUUUUUCAUUCUUUUGAUACAAAGUUUUAAAUAAAAAAGAAAUUACGAUGGAUCGAACGAAUAUAGGAAAUACAUUGGGAAGAAAUUUAACAUCUCCGCGGAAGCGUAUGUCAAUUAUUCAAUCUUUAAGAAAAAAUAAUUCAACAAUAAGUGUAUCUGGACGAUCAAAUCAGUCCGUACAAAUAAUAUGUAAAUCACCGAACCAUGUAGUUGAGAGCUUUGGAUCAUCUUUACCUGUACUUGUUACAGAAGCUUUAACAUUUGUAGAUAGAAACAUUGCAGUCAGUGUUAAUAUUUCAAUAGAUGGUUGGGCUUGGCUUGUAUGUGGUCGAAGAUUACUUGUAUGGCAGUGUAAGACUACUAUUCAUGAUUCAAAACAAAAAAGAACUUUUAAAAGUCAGUGUCGUGAAUUAUUAUUACCCCAAAGUGAUUUAGCUCAUAAAGCAGAAUGUGUAGCUGUAUGGUUGCCUUCAGGCUAUCAGGUACCUAGUUGUAUGGCUGUUUCUCCUGAAGGUAUUGUACGUUUUUGGGUUAGUGUUGCACAUGAAGGAUCUUCCGUAGAAACAAGUGCAGAACUUGCUGGACAAGAAGUUGAUUGUCUUACUUACAUUCCUGGUCAUGGUUGUAUUUUAGCUACAACCACAUGUACAGUAGCAUUGUUACAAUCACAGUUUAUUGGUGGUAAAAAUAGUGUUACUUGUCAGGUUCUUAGAACAAGUCAAGGAUGGCUAGGAGGUAUAGGAAGAAGAAUGACUUCUCUUAUCUUUGGUGCUAUACCUCAAUCCCCAGUUACAGAAACAAAAUUAGUAAAAGUUACUUGCACAACUUUAGGAGAUAGAGGAUCAAGAGUUCUGAUUUUAGCUGGUUCAUCUUUGCAAUAUUGGUCUUUUCCUUAUAAUGAACAAGAGAAAAUAGAGUUUGAUGAAGAUAUUGGACAUAUUAUUUCACAAACUUUCCAAAGAAAAAUUUGGGAAUCAAGUGCAUGUAAUCCACAAAACAUGGAAACCUGGCUGAUUGAUAUGCAACCAUGUAAUGAAGGAAUAGUCUUUUUAAUGGCAGCUUAUUGUGCUGAUGCAUCAUCUUUUAUUGAAUUUGCAUUAGGUUUGAUACAAUUAUCUGGUACAACAUUAGCAAAUACAUUUAAAUGGUUUAUACCAAUUAAAAUCGAUCCUAUUUCAUAUCAUAAUGAUGCUGAAUCAACUUUAGUUUCUUAUCGCUUUAUAUUAUGUGGUUGGGAAGCUAUUAUAUAUAAUCAAUAUAAAGUACUUGUUGUGAAUUGUACAUCUGAAAAUGAACAGGACAAAAUAGAUUUAGUGAGAGGUGGAGAUGAUAGCAUUCUUGGUGGUGCAUUGUGUUCAGGAACUCCAGUUUUAUUUACUAAAAACUUUGGAUUAGUUUCUAUUAUGCCAUCAGAUUUUAUAUCACAAGAUUUUAAUAUGAGUUACACAGAUAAUACAAAUGCUGAUUAUAAUUAUCGAUCUAAUUCGACACAAAAUUUUACUAGUCUUAUUAGUAAUGAAGAAGUUCAAGAUAUGUUUUAUAGUUCUGAUAACUGUACGCAAUUACGUGCUGCAUUUCUUCUUAGUUUACGACAAAAUAGAGCACAAUGUGAAGAAAUUUUAUCACAACUUUUUCCUUUGCAAGAAGAACCAAUAAUGGAUAUAGAUGCUAAUCUUGAUACGCUGAUUUUAAAAGUUGCUAAAGAUUUGAUAGAUGAUUAUCCAGCAAAUGAUCCACGUUGGUCAAAUCAUAGAGAUUUAUCCAUGACAAUAAAUGCAGUUACUUCAAUGCAAAUACUUAAUCAAUUAGAAGGAAAACAGAAAGCUAUAGAUUUAUUUAUAAUAUUUUUGAAAGAACAUGAUUUAUGGAAUAGAUUUUGUGCUGUUACAUAUAGGGGAAUAAUUAUAUCUACACCAUAUGUUCUUGAAGAAUAUGCAGAAAAAAUAAUUGCAGCAUUAACCAUAUAUAAUCUUCAAAAUAAAUAUGCAGAUAUUAUAGAUACAAUAAUAGAACAAACUUUAAGUCCUGAAUCAUAUGUAUCUGAUGAAUUAACAGCUCGUGAUAUAUUUUAUCGCGAAGUUAGUACUGUGCAUCGUUUUCUUCCUACUUUAGUGAAUAAUGCAUCAGAGGUAACUCAAUCUGAAAGACCUAUUCAACAGGUAGCACAUUAUAUCAUGCAAGUAAAUGCUAUAUUAUUAGGUGUACUACACGAAGUGAUGAAAUACCGACAACAUAAUGCUGAACGAUUUCUUCCUACAAGAUGUUCGUAUGGUAUAACUGAAUAUCUUCCUUGGACAGCAGCAAUUGGAAGACAUGGAUUAAGAAAUUGUCUUACUACAAUGUAUAAUUUAACUCUUAAGCAUGGCAUAACUGGAACCAAUGAUUCAACUGUAAGAAACGAAUUGUACGAACAGUUAGUGAGUUAUAUAGAUUUAAUAUUGGAUGGUCGAAAAUGUCAUUUAGAAAGUGUUAAGGGUACAGAAAAAUUUGAAAUACUUUUGAAGCAAUAUGAAACAGAUCGAAUGAAUUUAAUUCAACCAUUGAUAAAAGAAGAACAGUAUGAUAAUGCUGCAAUGUUAGCUGAAAAAUAUUGUGAUUUUGCAUCUCUCAUACAAAUAUGUGAAUUAACUAACAAUAAAAGUCGAUUGGAUGGAUAUAUAAAAAAAUUUGCAGCUCAAGAUUUUGUGGGAUUUUUAUUUUCAUGGUAUGUAAAAGAUGGUCGACAGGGUCAAUUAGUAGAAAAGUGUAGACGCGAUGGUACAAUUGAAUUAUCAGAAAAAUUGGCUGAACAUCCAACUUUAUCAUGGGUACAAUCUGCUCUUAUGGACGAUUUACGUUUUGCUGCUAAUACUCUUCAUUCUUUAGCAAUUCAAGAAAAUGAAUUAGUGACACGUAAAAAGUCCAUGCUUUCUUUAGCAAAAUUGGCUCUUCUUGCUUCGGAUGAUUUAGAAGAAGAAAUAAGAGAUUGUGUGAAAAGAAUUGAUAAUGAAUUGGCAUUGAUAGCCCAUCAGGAAGACUUACCAACUCAGUUACUUACGACGUAUGGUUACGAUGUAGAAAAAUUACGAGUAUUUACACCAACAGAAUUAAUUACGUUAUAUACAUCUGAUGAUAAUAUUGAGGCAAAUGAAUAUGAUUUUAAAAAAGCUCUUGAUUUGCUAAAAUAUAUGGAACAAGAAGAUGAAAAAGUGUCUUUAAAAUUACAAAUUUGGGCACGAGCCGCUAAACGAGAUCAAUGGGAUACUAUAGGAAAAAAUCCUGAACAACAAGUACAAGAAACUAUAUUUUUUAAAUUAAUGGAUCUCGCACACUUUAUGGGAGGUGAAGUAAAUGAAUUUCUUCCUCCAGUUGAUAUGCUUUUGGUAGAACCUGAAUUAGGAAAUCUUGCUGCAUCAAGUAAUUUUCAGUUCCUGAUAAAAUUCGUAUAUGAAUAUGCAUAUAGCAAUUAUUAAUCUAUUUGAAUAAUUGUAGCAAUGUUUUGAUGUUGAAGAGAUGCAGCAAUUGCUCCUAUAAUUAUUCCAGGGGCAAUAGUACCACAUGGUGUCAGAAUCACUCCUUGUUGUCUUGGAUAAUUCCAUGUAUCAGUUUUAUUCUAUCAAGAUAGGUGUGGUGUUAUACUUUACUAAACGAAUUUGAAGGGAUAUCAUAUAUACUGCAUUAAAAAAAA